rnacentral:rRNA from 1 species
UACGAAGGGGGCUAGCGUUGCUCGGAAUUACUGGGCGUAAAGCGCACGUAGGCGGAUUGUUAAGUCGGGGGUGAAAUCCUGGAGCUCAACUCCAGAACUGCCUUCGAUACUGGCGAUCUCGAGUUCGGGAGAGGUGAGUGGAACUGCGAGUGUAGAGGUGAAAUUCGUAGAUAUUCGCAAGAACACCAGUGGCGAAGGCGGCUCGCUGGCCCGAUACUGACGCUGAGGUGCGAAAGCGUGGGGAGCAAACAGG